AGCAGCCGCGGUAAUUCCAGCUCCAAUAGCGUAUAUUAAAGUUGUUGCAGUUAAAAAGCUCGUAGUUGAAUUUCGGGGUUAGUAGGUUGGUCAUGCCUCUGGUAUGUACUGGUCUCACUGAUUCCUCCUUCCUGAUGAGCCGUAAUGCCAUUAAUUUGGUGUUGCGGGGAAUUUGGACUGUUACUUUGAAAAAAUUAGAGUGUUUAAAGCAAGCUAACGCUUGAAUACAUUAGCAUGGAAUAAUGAAAUAGGACGUUCGAUCCUAUUUUGUUGGUUUCUAGGAUUGACGUAAUGAUUAAUAGGGAUAGUUGGGGGCAUUAGUAUUCAAUUGUCAGAGGUGAAAUUCUUGGAUUUAUUGAAGACUAACUACUGCGAAAGCAUUUGCCAAGGAUGUUUUCAUUAAUCAAGAACGAAAGUUAAGGGGAUCGAAGACGAUCAGAUACCGUCGUAGUCUUAACCAUAAACUAUGCCGACUAGGAUCGGAUGAUGUUAAUUUUUAAUGUACUCAUUCGGCGUCCCG
rnacentral:rRNA from 1 species